rnacentral:rRNA from 1 species
AUUGAACGCUGGCGGCAGGCCUAACACAUGCAAGUCGAACGAGUGGCAGACGGGUGAGUAAUGUCUGGGAAACUGCCUGAUGGAGGGGGAUCACUACUGGAAACGGUAGCUAAUACCGCAUACCCUCAGAUGUGCCCAGAUGGGUUUAGCUAGUUGGUGGGGUAACGGCUCACCAAGGCGACGAUCCCUAGCUGGUCUGAGAGGAUGACCAGCCACACUGGAACUGAGACACGGUCCAGACUCCUACGGGAGGCAGCAGUGGGGAAUAUUGCACAAUGGGCGCAAGCCUGAUGCAGCCAUGCCGCGUGUAUGAAGAAGGCCUUAGGGUUGUAAAGUACUUUCAGCGGGGAGGCGUUACCCACAGAAGAAGCACCGGCUAACUCCGUGCCAGCCGCCGCGGUAAUUC